UCCCUGGUAGUCCAGUGGUUAGGUCUUAGUGCUUUCACUGCUGUGGGCCCAGGUUCAAUCCCUGGUCAGGGAA
rnacentral:tRNA from 1 species